rnacentral:rRNA from 1 species
GCAAGUCGAGGGGUAACAUGUCUGCUUGCAGAUGAUGACGACCGGCGCACGGGUGAGUAACGCGUAUGCAACCUACCUUAUACUGGGGGAUAGCCCAAAGAAAUUUGGAUUAAUACCGCAUAACAAUGUUUUGUCGCAUGGCAGAAUAUUUAAAACUCCGGUGGUAUAAGAUGGGCAUGCGUAGCAUUAGUUAGUUGGUGAGGUAACGGCUCACCAAGACAAUGAUGCUUAGGGGGUCUGAGAGGAUAGUC